GCGGAGGAAAAGAAACCAACAGGGAUUGCCCCAGUAACGGCGAGUGAAGCGGCAACAGCUCAAAUUUGAAAUCUGGUCCCCUUGCGGGGCCCGAGUUGUAAUUUGAAGAGGAUGCUUCUGGCAAGGUGCCUUCCGAGUUCCCUGGAACGGGACGCCGCAGAGGGUGAGAGCCCCGUACGGUAGGACGCCGAGCCUCUGUGAAGCUCCUUCGACGAGUCGAGUAGUUUGGGAAUGCUGCUCAAAAUGGGAGGUAAACCCCUUCUAAAGCUAAAUACCGGCCAGAGACCGAUAGCGCACAAGUAGAGUGAUCGAAAGAUGAAAAGCACUUUGAAAAGAGAGUUAAAAAGCACGUGAAAUUGUUGAAAGGGAAGCGCUUGCGACCAGACUCGCGCCCGUCGGAUCAGCCGUCGCUUGUCGGCGGCGCACUCCGGCGGGCUCGGGCCAGCAUCAGUUCGCCUGGGGGGAGAAAGGCGGCAGGAAUGUGGCUCCUCGGAGUGUUAUAGCCUGCCGUGUAAUACCUCCGGGCGGACUGAGGACCGCGCGUAG
rnacentral:sRNA from 1 species